rnacentral:lncRNA from 1 species
GUCAGGGUGCUGCCUCCCUAUCCACUGGGAGUCCUUUUGCGUUUCAGAUGCUCCCAGGCUCUCCCGCAGUUUAAAGACUUAACUCAGCGGCUUUCAGGGCCUGUGGUUGAGGGACUCCGAAAGAACUGUUGCUGGUGGACCGGUUCAGGGUCUUGACUUCGCCACACAAAAGAACUUGAGAGCACGUCCAAAGUAAAGCUAAGACCUCUAGUACAGUGUUCAAUGGAACUGGUGAGAAAAGACGUCCUUGCUGUGUUCCUGAUAUGAAGAGGAAAGCAGUCCUUCUCCAUUAAAUGCUGACAACAUGAGCCUCCCGUGGUCGGAACGGGCUUGUGAAGGCGGUGCUGGGGUGCACCAGGGCAGCAGCUACAGGGUCAAGCCUGAGACACCUGAAGCCCUGGACUUGGAAUCUGAAGCUGUCAUCAGCCAGUACACCUAUGAACCUGUGGAAGACCUGAAGUACCUGUUUAAAAGACAGCCAAAAGAUAAAAUGCACCAGCUGGAGUCGACAUUAAAGGGCCCCAUUUCCCAUUUGCUGCAGAAGAUGUUUAAUUGGAAGUCUCUCCCUGUCCUUUUGAAAAUCAUACUGGUAGCCUUCAAGUGGCCAUGGUGGGAGCAUUGACCCAGGGAAAUCCACAUUUCCCAACACAUGCUGGAUACCUGAGGACUCCAGAGCUACUAUCUGCUCAUAUCUGCUCAACAUUAAAAAAAAAAAAAAAACCUCACAUUGUUAAGUGAAAAGGUUUAUUGGCAGAUUUGCUUAACUCAAUUUGCAAAGAUACCUUAGACCAGGGGUCGGCAAACUACAUUCCACAGAACGAAGCUGCCCAUUACUUGUCUUUUGUUUGUUUGUUUGUUUUGUUUUGUUUUGUUUUGAGAUGAAGUCUCGCUCUUGUUGCCCGGGCUGGAGUGCAAUGGUGUGAUCUCAGCUCACUGCAACCUCAACCUCCCUGGUUCAAGCAAUUCCCCUGCCUGAGCCUCCCAAGUAGCUGGGAUUACAGGCACAUGCCACCAUGCCCAACUGAUGUUUUUGUAUUUUUAGUAGAGAUGGGGUUUCACCAUGUUGGCCAGACUGGUCUCGAACUCCUGACCUCAGGUGAUCCACUGCCUCAGCCUCCCAAAGUGCUGGGAUUACAGGCGUGAUCCUAAGUACAGUUUUAUAGGACAACCAUGCUCAUUCAUUUCCGUAUCGUCCACGGCUGCUCUACAGCAGCAGAGUUUAGUGGUCAGGACAGAACCGGCACAACCUGCACAACCUGCACAACUUUCAAAGGCUGAAUAUUUACUCUCCGGCUCUUUAGAGAAAGUUUGCAACUCCUACUUUAGACUGAUGCUUCUCCAAUGCUAACGCGCCAGUCACCAAAUCACCGGCAUCUGGUCCCAGCCUCCAACCAUAAACCACAGCUGAAUGGAAACUUGGUAGCGCUUGCCUUCAAUAGCAGAUGCUGUAAGAGGAAAGCAAGGUGACCAAGAAAACAUUGCAAAACUCUGGGCAGAAUCUGGGGCCUGAAGACUCUGAGUCAGAGGCCUCUUUUUUUGCUCUAAACACAUAUUAGCAAGAGUCCAAGAGGCAUCAAAGAUGAGUUAGCAGCAAAAUGAGGCUUUGUCCUUCAUGUAGAAAGGAUUAAAUGAUAGUUGAAAAUGCAAUAACUUUCACCCUGUGGGAUUCAGUGAUGUUCAGUGCUGUGAUUAUGUCCAACUUCAAAUCUUGCUGUCCCAACUGGGACAGCCCAAACAUAGGGAGCCACUGCACUAAGAUGUUAUGAUUUAUUAAGAUAAUAAAGCUAGCGGGAUGACAAAUGUUUCAUUUUUCCCCCAUGUGUUUCCCCCAAAGGACCGUCUGCUUUUGCAUGUGAUUUGACUAUGCGCUGAGGACCUAGCGUGGUAUAUCAGCAAAGUGGAAAAGUGACUGAAGUGACUGUUUAUCAUCUUGUACCAAGUUACACCACUUUAAGCUUUAACUCCACAGCUCUUGCAUUAUUUUAAAACCGUCUGGCAGAUCUCUAAAACUAAUGGUACAAACCACUCUGUGAUACAUUAAAAUACAUCCCACUCUGUCAUACUGCAAACAAGUAGCUGCUCCCCAGUCUUUGAAAAAGUACUUUCAAGAUAAAAUAUGUACUCAUGGGUUCUGCAGGUUUUUAAAAAGUCUUGAAUCUUCACAGAUUUACUGGGGGGGAAGGGGCGUUUCAUGUAAAAUGUGUUUUUCCUUGACAUUUAGAGGUCUUGCAAAGUGGUUUAUUAUAGAUCUUGUGGACAUCUCGCUAUUUAAUUAAAUUUCAGAAAUAUAUUCUCUGCACUCAUAAGAAGGAAUAUGAAGAGUGUAUUUGUUCACUGUCUAUUUAUUAUUCGUUUUCUGUUUCUAACACAAAAUUAUCAGUUCGAAAUAAGUCAUCAGAGGCACUUAAAAUUUUUCAGGGUCAGAACUCUAAUUAACCUCAGCAACUCUGCUUAAAAUGUUGAAUAAUAUAAGACAAGUCCUUACAGGAAUCUUUGGUAAUAUUCAGUCUUGGUGAUAUAUUUACAACUAUUUUUUAAAAACUGACCUUCAAUGUCUAUUUUCAAAAGACGUGAGGGAAUGGAAAGCAGAUUGAGAAACAAGUCACUUGUGAGGUCUCAUCCAACACAUUUCAGUAAAUUAUUGCUGGAUGUAAGCAGCUGAAUUUGUAAACGAUUUCAUUACCUUACAUUUUAUAGAGAAAAUUAAGAGUAAGUUCACAGUAAAUGAACCUCUAGUCUGAAAAUAGCUCUUUCUCCUCAUUUAAACCUGAAAUCAGAAGGAUACAACCCAAAUGUGUUCCACCCAACACAUUUUGAGAUAAAUACAUUUCACAAUUGUCUUAUUGGUGGAUUUGCUUAACACAAUUUGGGUAUUUGUUACCCUCUGAUGAAUUCAGAGGAGUUUUUCAGAGGAUAACAUUGCAUGUUUGCAAAAAGUUUGCAUGUUUGCAUGUUGCGUGCAAUAAGUUUGCAUGCUCACAAUAAGUUUGCGUGUCCUUUAGUGCUAUCUUUUAUUUUUCUGUUAGGGAUUCUAGUUUGCAGUAGAACAAUUUCCUCCUGCAGCCUCAUUCAAAGUACCAUCAGGAUUCAACCUGUUUCUCUCCAUGAGACUGUUUUGCUCCUAACUUAUCAGAAUAAGAGCUCACGAGAUCAGCAGCUGACGGAAAUUGUCGGAACAGGAGCUGCUGGCACCCGUGUAGAAAGCACAGAAAAUAUGAACAGUUGGAGGCCCCUCCAGGCAAGUCACCUGGGAAGGCUGGUGACAGGUGAGAGGAAUUGGCACAGCAG